UUUCAGUACAUUCCGUUGAUGUAGACGGCGUGAAAACGGAAACAAGUAUGCCGGCUCACUGUGCUGCAUACAGUUACACACUGCGUCGUACGAUUGAGACAUGGAAACUUGGAAUGACUUUUCAUAGGUUUCCCAGAGACUAUGGGUUGAGGAGGAAUUGGAAGUUUGUCGGCUUAGACCUGGUGUCAUUCCAUCAGUGUUAAACUUCCCGGCUCAUCUUGGAAGAGUACGUGCCAGAAAGACCACGACCAAGCAGCCUUGAGAUCUUAGGCAGCGUCUCCCUCAGACCAAAGAACUACAGACUCUUCACAACCUGCUCAAACUCUUGGUACAGGACCUCACCACACGGGUCAAGAAGGUUUCUGUCUCAUUUCUACUCUGAAGAUCACCUUCUCUUGCUCAAACUGCUGACAAAUGUUUCUGCUGCUCUAAAGUCUGGUCUCCAGAACUUCCUAAAAACUCUCAAAGUCUCUUCUGCUGCAGGUUGCUUUGUAGAACUGUUGCAGAAAACCUCACUAAACCACAUGGAGGGGCCUCAAGAUAGUCAUCCAAAUGAAACCAUACAAAAACCAAACUAGCACAACCCAAACGCUAAAGUCUCCUGCAGCCUACCAGAGAACCUCUUUAAACAGAGAAUCAGGACAGGAACUCUUACCUUCUAGACAACCAGUAUUGGUUCACAAACAAGAAUACAGAAUGUGUCUGACCAAAAACCUCUAAAGACUCACUACAGCCAAGAUAAAGACACAACUCAGCUGCACCAAAUCCACUAAUCACUGCACACAUUAGCACCAUGUGCUAACUGUGGCUAAAGAACCACAUUUACCAAGACAACUAUCCAGUACAAAGCCCUCAAACACAUCAAGAAACACAUUAAAGACGAUUUUACUGCUGGAAGCUGCAAGCCAACGCCUAAAGAACAAACUGAAGCAAUGGAGCCAAACCCAGGUGAAGAGAAGCAGAGGAAAUGUUUGUCUGCAGCUAAAUAAAGCAGGAAGACACUGAGCUGCUCAGGUGUUCCUGAUAACACCAAGCUGCUCAGGUGUUCCUGAUAACACCAAGCAGCCACCUGGACAGCCAAUCGGAACACAGCUUCCUGGAAGUCCAGAGGGCUGGGUUAGUGAAGGAAAUUUAAUUUAAAGUUGAAGCAGAAAGUUAA